AUUGAACGCUGGCGGCAUGCCUUACACAUGCAAGUCGAACGGCAGCGCGGGGGCAACCCUGGCGGCGAGUGGCGAACGGGUGAGUAAUAUAUCGGAACGUACCCAAGAGUGGGGGAUAACGUAGCGAAAGUUACGCUAAUACCGCAUACGAUCUAAGGAUGAAAGUGGGGGACCGCAAGGCCUCACGCUCCUGGAGCGGCCGAUAUCUGAUUAGCUAGUUGGUGGGGUAAAGGCCUACCAAGGCAUCGAUCAGUAGCUGGCCUGAGAGGACGACCAGCCACACUGGGACUGAGACACGGCCCAGACUCCUACGGGAGGCAGCAGUGGGGAAUUUUGGACAAUGGGGGGCAACCCUGAUCCAGCAAUGCCGCGUGAGUGAAGAAGGCCUUCGGUUGUAAGCUCUUUGUC
rnacentral:rRNA from 1 species